rnacentral:RNase_P_RNA from 1 species
GGCAAGAAACCUAACUUGCGGUUGAAACUGCAAAGUUUUGACUGAGGAAAGUCCAUCCACCAUUUUACCUUUUUUAUUGGAUUAAAUGCCAUAAAAAGGAGUUGAUGUGCUUUUGUACAUUUCCAGUAAUGGAAGGCAACCGCUCAGAAACGACACGGCCUUUUAUUCGCUAUGAUGUCAAAGCGUUUGAAAACAACACUUUGAGCACCCCAAAAACAAUUCCUGUUUUUUUGGUGUUUGCGAAGUUUUCCGCGAGGAGAAUGAGAUAACCAACUGAGUUUGUUAAAAGGAUACGUUUAAACGGCGAGCCCCAACUGGUGCAAGUCUUUUACUGACGCUAAGUAGAAUGUUAGGAAAAACCUUCAAUGAUAUGCUUUAAAGCAUUAGGGUUUUACAGAAGAUGGCUUAUUGCUUGCC